GGCUGUAUCAUGGGUGGUAUGUGUGAAUAUUUGUUCAUAUUGGCUCGGGGGGCUUGGCUAGAUGUUCAUGGAUGCUUAUGUUGAGAUAUGCAAAUAAAGAUGCCCGGUCGUGGCAGGAUAGUUAUGGUGGUUUAUGUUGAUAUAUGGUAAUGAUGUACUGGGGCGUGGCUAGAUGUUUACGGUGGUUUAUGUUGAGAUAUGCUAAUGAUGGCGCUGGGGGCGUGGCUAGAUGUUUACGCUCACAGGGCGCCGCCCUUGAUUCACCACAUGGUUCCCAACAGGACGCCUUGGCGCCACUUUCCUCAUCCUUCAAUGGUUUUUAAUGUGAUUCUCGACAGGAUCGGACUCUACAUGAUGUUUCGGGUCAUAGAUUUGCCUUUAGGUAAAGUUUGGGGUUGUAUUCGUGUAGUAUUUGAGUGUAUUCGUGGUCGGAUCGCAUGAUGGUGGAGAUCUGUGGACACCCAUGAGCAAAACCUGAGGUGGAGGGUCAUCAUCGGAGACAGCUGAAGACUGCUACUGCCUGGGUAUUGCCAAAGUGCUUACAGUGCAGGUAGUACUAUGCAACGCUACUGCAGUGGAGGCACUUCUAGCAAUACCCGGGCCCGGGCUCCCACGCUCCUGUUAUGUUGUUGUUGUUGUUGUCCUUGUGCUAAGGUGCAUCUAGUGCAGAUAGUGAAAUAGACUAGCACCUACUGCCCUAAGUGCCCCUUCUGGCAUAAGGGCUGUGAUCACGCUCUUCAUUCGGGAACACAAACCCUCCUAAUUGGGCUCAAAUGUCUCGCAGUUCUCUGCUAGUUCUGCAUAGUUGCACUACAAGAAUAGAAGAGUUGUGCAAAUCUAUGCAAAACUGAUGGUGGCCUGCUUGUUCUCUGCCUGUCUCCAAGCCCAUUGGACUCAGAGCUUGUUUUGCGACCCCUCUUAAUACCCAAGGUGUUGUCACGAGUGUGAGCGGUGCUAAAGUGCUUAUAGUGCAGGUAGUGUUGUCCGUAUCUACUGCAGCGUGAGCACUUCAAGUCCUUCUCACUGCCAUCCACAGGUCUCCUGCCGCCGGGAGAACUUCGCUACUCUGCUCAGUUUUGCUGGUUUGCAUUCCGCUGGAGAUUGCGUUGGUGUGCAAAUCCAUGCAAAACUGAGCAGGUUGGAGGUGUCCAGCUAAAUAACUUAGGAUGUCAAACGGUCAGUGACUCAUGAUGUCACUCAGUCACGGGUCAUGAUGUCACUCGAUCAGGGGUCAUGAUGUCACUCGAUCAGGGGUCAUGAUGUCACCGAUCAGGGGUCAUGAUGUCACCGAUCAGGGGUCAUGAUGUCACCGAUCAGGGGUCAUGAUGUCGCUCGAUCAGAGGGUCAUGAUGUUCCCUGUCAGGGGCUCAUGAUGUCACCGGUCAGGGGUUCAUGAUGUCACCGGUCAGGGGAAGAUGUUGUCGGGGGGCGGUAUGACCUGUCCACUCCGUCACAGGUGGGGCCGAGCAGCAAUGCUGCGUAGCGACGGUAUUGCACUUGUCCCGGCCUGUGAAGGGGCUAGGAGAUAACCACUUUUCCUCUGAAGGAGCUAGGAGAUUACGUCCUCUCCUCAGGGAAAGAGCUAGGAGAUUACCCUGUCUCCUCAGUGAAGGAGAUAGGAGAUAACCUUGUCUCCUCCCUCCUCGGUAGUGCUCUAGAUGCCUCUUCAAUGCUUACUUGUUUAGUUUCACAGGCUAUAUACACACCAUCUGUUUCACAGGCGAUAUACACCAUCUUUAAGUAGUAGUGUUUACUCUGUUUCACAGGCUAUAUACGGUACACCAUCUUUAAGUAGUAGUGUUUACUCUGUUUCACAGGCUAUAUACACCAUCUUUUAAGUAGUAGUGUUUACUCUGUUUCACAGGCUAUAUACACCAUCUUUAAGUAGUAGUGUUUACUGUUUCAUGUUGGAUUUUGCUAAUUGAUCAUGUAAUGUACUUCUGAUUUAUUAAAAUCUUUAACUGCAGCUCA